rnacentral:lncRNA from 1 species
ACAAUGCAACGAAGAAGGAAGAAGGCAACUAGCUACUAGCUUCAUUCUUUUUCUUUAAACAUCAUCAUCAAGUGGUUAAUAUCUUUUACGUGCUUUCGUAUUACCAACGGUUCACUUUAUACAUCUUAUAAUACAAAUACUUACGAGUUACGAGACUAAAAAAAAAAAACCAUACAUACACAAACUCAGAAAGGAAAGAAAAAAGUCACGACUGCUUACUUUUAAAAAAAAUGGGAUUGU